rfam:Natranaerobius trueperi strain DSM 18760 ZB100032, whole genome shotgun sequence.
UUUCCCUUGAAAUUAGUCCAGAGAGGCUAAUAAGGGUUGUAACAGACCAUGAAUGUUGGGUAAUUACACCUUAUUAGCUAUGACUAAUAAGGUGUUUUUUUA